UUUUGACUUUCCAUAUAUCUCUCUCACAUAAUAUAUACAGGACUUAUACUCACAAGUGUCAACCCACUUUUGAAAGCUUAACUUAACAACUCCUUUAAAUUUAAAAUGAAAAACAUGAAAAGCCUCUUUUGUUUUUCCAUUCUUUUGCUUGUUAUCUCAAUGAAUUUUGGUAUGAAAUAUUAUUAUUGAUUUUUUUUUUACAAAUUAAAGUUUUAUGAGUUUGUGAUGUUUUUACUAACGAUGUUUAUGUGCGGUUGGCUAUUUAUUGCAGGAAAUCAAGUGAUGAUGAUUGAGGCAAAACCAUGCUCAAUCAUUAAAUCUCAUUUCUGUCGUAAAUGGGAGGUUUUGAUUUGCAAAGCAUAUUGCAAGAUUGAAUGCAAAACAAUACAUGCAACUGGAAAAUGCCACGACGACUAUUCGUGUAAUUGUAAUUGUUGUGCUAAUUGAUAGUAUUAUUAUUACUACUAUAAUAAUAACAUUGGGAGUUGGUGUCUAGCGGCAUGGGUGUGUCUUCUAUGGUAGUUUUGAAGUUGAGAUGAGUUUUUCUAAUUAUGAGAUUAGAAGUAGACCUCUAUUAGUUAGUGUCUUUCUAAGUAUGAGAUUAAAAGUAGAACUCUAUUAGUUAGUAUCUAUUUUGAUAUUUUUAGGUUCCGUUUAUAUACGACGCCUAUGUAGUUUCUCUUUCACCAGUCUAUGUUUGUUUUGUGCGAGACCUGGUUAUUUAUAAUAACAUUGGAAGGUUCCAAUUUAUUUUUUAAAACAAUGAAGGUUCCACAUUUUAAAGGUGUAAGAUGGUGAACUAAUAAAUAAAAUGGUUUCAUUA
rnacentral:lncRNA from 1 species